GACGUAGGGCGCGAGCGUUUGUCCGGAUUUAUUGGGCGUAAAGAGCUCGUAGGCGGCUUGUCGCGUCGUCCGUGAAAACUUGGGGCUCAACCCCAAGCUUGCGGUCGAUACGGGCAGGCUAGAGUUCGGUAGGGGAGACUGGAAUUCCUGGUGUAGCGGUGAAAUGCGCAGAUAUCAGGAGAACACCCGUGGCGAAGGCGGGCUC
rnacentral:rRNA from 1 species